rnacentral:lncRNA from 1 species
CGGGACUUGUAGUCCGACCGGCCUCGGCCCGCGGGGCCCCGGGCCCAGGAUCGCGGACACAGGCCGGACGGGGGACCCGGGUAGAACAAGCCUCAGAUACACGAACGCACAGAGACAUUCGGGAACACAGGACGGCGACCCUCAGACAAGACUGUGUGACCUUGGGCAGUCUCUCAACCUCUCUGGGCCUCAUUUCUUCAAUGGUAGGACGUUGAUGACUUUAGCAAAGCCUGCUUCUUAGAGUUGGUGCCAGGAUCCCAUUAGAAAAUACGUGCAAAGCCCUUGACAGUGCCUGGCACAAGGUAAGUACUCGGUAAAUGUCAAAGUCAAGAUACUUCUGCCCAGAGACUCACAUUUCGGAGGGACGCGUGGACAGGGGAGACCCUGAAAUGAUGCUUUGGAAGCUUCUAAAAUGCCAGAGAAAUAGGAUGGCGUAACCUAGCCCCAGACACCCCACGGCAUGACCUGCAGACAUGCCUGCAGAUGGGGUGUAUGGAGACCCCCGGAGGCACUGGAGACCUCACACGUGUAUGCAGCCUUUAUUACCUGCCUGUGGUGACAGGCACAGAAGCUGUCCUCCCUGACCCCGGGGA